rnacentral:lncRNA from 1 species
AGCCGUGUUCGGACCCCGAAACGAGUAAGGACCCCUCACCCUAUUUUCUAUCACGGUAUUAAAGUUCAAAAUGAUAAAACGGUAUUUCUUGAAUUAACGAAUGUGUGAAAUUGCUUAAGGUGGCUAAUGGAGUCCGAGUCUAGUGUGAUUGGUGAUUUACUGUUAUUUGGCAUGUUUACAGCUUUAAAUGCAAAAUGAGGUUUGAUGUGUUCAUUUUACAGAUUUGUGUGCAUAUACUACGUUUUUAUUAAUUAUGGGUUGAAUGACUGAAAAACUGAUACUGUAUGUUGUCUGUUUGGCAUGA